UCUGCUCGGGCGCCUCAAAAUCUUCCCUGAGAGUUAAGCAUAAGAGGAGAGGAAAAGUGGAGAGUUUUCCUGCAAGAAUCGCACGGGGUCUUGGAGUGUUUCUCAAUCCCACUUGAGCAAUAUAACUUCCAAUAUUAACCUGACCUUAUUUUUCCAUCUUUCUUAGGCUGCCUAUUUCCUAGACACACAGUUUCUGUGCUUAGCAGUACCUGCUAAAAAAAAAGUUUAAAAGUUUCCAGAAGGAAGAUAGAGUUAAGAGAAUCAAGUGCAAGACCAGCCAGAAGAAGAGGAAAGGUCUUUCUGAGAAUAUGAUGUCUUCACGGCCAGGAAGUUAAAGAAGUUUCGUUACCACACUUGAGACCUGAGAAGCUCUGAGGCCGGGGCAGGGCAAGAAAGUCUUUGCCUCCAAUCAUGAGGAGAAAGGGCGGAGGAAGGGUGGCUUCUAGCUGCUUGAUCUAGCAAAUUGGAGGCCCUGAUAUCUCCCUACUACCUCAGACCACCAAAGACGUAAAUGCAGGGCUUUGAGGAAGCAGUAGUGUCACUCUCACUGCCUCCUGGGCUCCAGGACUUUCUGCCAAACAAUGGCUGCCCAAGGGUGAGGAUGACCAUGUUAAACUGACAUUAUUUAGAAUUACUGGAGCACCGUGAUGACGAAAAGCAAAUCUAUCUUUAGUCAGUAAUAUUAGUCUCUAAAUUUGGAAUAGACAAUAAAACUUCUUACUGCCUGUACCUAGAUGAACUGCUCUCACCCAUACCUUUCAUAUACCACUCAGUUAUUCCAACUGGCCCAACUUCCCAUGCUUCAGAUUCUCCAUACAUACACCCCUUGUUCGGAACACGCUCCCCAAGAUUCCCAAGACUAGAUUCGUAUUCCUCAGAGUUCAGCUCGAAUGUCAUUACCUCACUGGGGCCUUUCAAGUCAAAUCUAAUUACAUAUACACACCCCUCUUAUAUACUCUCUCUUUAUCCUGUUGCUUCCUUGAUUUCUCUUUCACUACUUACAAUUAUUUUUUUUAAUUUGUAUAUUCAUUUUACACUGGUAGCUCCAAGAGGUCAAGAUCUACUCUUAUUCAUUUAUCACUAUGUACCAGGAGCUAACAUGUGCCUGGAAUAUAGUAUGUGAUCAAUAAAUAUUGUUGAUUAAAUAAAUGGAUGACUGAGUGAAUGAAUAAAUAUUUACAAAUGUU